rfam:Tarsius syrichta cont1.1054966, whole genome shotgun sequence.
AACAGGCGGAUGCGGGGGUCUGCAAGAGGGGGGCAGCGGGGUGGGGGUGCAGCCCCCAAACAAAGACAUGGGGG